AACGUAGGAGACAAGCGUUAUCCGGAGUUACUGGGCGUAAAGGGCGUGCAGGCGGCUUCUUAAGUCUGUUGUGAAAGCGCCUGGCUUAACCGGGCGAGGCCAAGGGAGACUGGGGAGCUAGAGGACGGCGGAGGAGUGUGGAAUUCCGGGUGUAGUGGUGAAAUGCGUAGAGAUCCGGAGGAACACCAGAGGCGAAGGCGGCACUCUAGGCCGUACCUGACGCUGAGACGCGACAGCACGGGGAGCGAACGGG
rnacentral:rRNA from 1 species